UACAGAGGGGGCAAGCGUUGUCCGGAUUUAUUGGGCGUAAAGAGCGUGUAGGCGGCCUUACAGGUCAGCUGUGAAAACUCGAGGCUCAACCUCGAGACGUCGGUUGAAACCGUAAGGCUAGAGUCCGGAAGAGGAGAGUGGAAUUCCCGGUGUAGCGGUGAAAUGCGUAGAUAUCGGAAGGAACGCCGGUGGCGAAAGCGACGUGCUGGACCUUUUCUGACGCUGAGGCGCGAAAGCCAGGGGAGCAAACGGG
rnacentral:rRNA from 1 species